ensembl:miRNA Mir3551 microRNA 3551
UAUGGGCAGUACUGUCUUCACCAUGGUGUUUUUGACAUAAGUAGCUAUGAAAUUCACCAUGGUGGGUAAAGUAAGGCUCAUA